rnacentral:rRNA from 1 species
GACGACAAGCCCCUAAAAGCUUUAUAUUAGUAUUUUGUUUUAGUGAGAAUUAACAAUGGUUAGCUGGGGUAGUGUACUUAUGUAAAUUAAGAUUCAUUUAGACUAAAUAGGGCUUAGAUCUUUUAUAUAAGGAGAUAUUGGGCUAGUUACUUUAGGGAUAACAGCGUAAUUAUUUUGGAGAGAUCAUAUUGAUAAAGUAGAUUGCGACCUCGAUGUUGAAUUAGGGUAUUUCUGUGAUGUAGAAGGUUCAGUAAAGGGUUUGUUCAACCUAUAAAUCCCUACAUGAUCUGAGU